rnacentral:rRNA from 1 species
UACGUAGGGGCCGAGCGUUGUCCGGAGUUAUUGGGCGUAAAGCGCGCGCAGGCGGCUUCGCGCGCCCGACGUGAAAGCCCCCGGCUUAACCGGGGAGAGUCGUUGGGGACGGCGGAGCUUGAGGGCGGGAGAGGUCGGUGGAAUUCCCGGUGUAGUGGUGAAAUGCGUAGAGAUCGGGAGGAACACCUGUGGCGAAGGCGGCCGACUGGGCCGACCCUGACGCUGAGACGCGACGGCGUGGGGAGCAAACCGG